AGCGAACGCUGGCGGCAGGCCUAACACAUGCAAGUCGAACGGACCCUUCGGGGUUAGUGGCGGACGGGUGAGUAACACGUGGGAACGUGCCUUUAGGUUCGGAAUAGCUCCUGGAAACGGGUGGUAAUGCCGAAUGUGCCCUUCGGGGGAAAGAUUUAUCGCCUUUAGAGCAGCCCGCGUCUGAUUAGCUAGUUGGUGAGGUAAUGGCUCACCAAGGCGACGAUCAGUAGCUGGUCUGAGAGGAUGACCAGCCACACUGGGACUGAGCCACGGCCCAGACUCCGACGGGAGGCAGCAGUGGGGAAUCUUGCGCAAUGGGCGAAAGCCUGACGCAGCCAUGCCGCGUGAAUGAUGAAGGUCUUAGGAUUGUAAAAUUCUUUCACCGGGGACGAUAAUGACGGUACCCGGAGAAGAAGCCCCGGCUAACUUCGUGCCAGCAGCCGCGGUAA
rnacentral:rRNA from 1 species